UACGUAGGGGGCGAGCGUUGUCCGGAGUUACUGGGCGCAAAGCGCACGCAGGCGGUCUGCUAAGUUUGGAGUGACAGUUGGUGGCUUAACUGCCAAAGUGCUUCGAAAACUGACAGACUUGAGGGCUUCAGAGGGACACGGAAUUCCGGGUGGAGUGGUGAAAUGCGUAGAGAUCCGGAGGAACACCAAAGGCGAAGGCAGUGUCCUGGGGAGUACCUGACGCUCAGGUGCGAAGGCCAGGGGAGCGAACGGG
rnacentral:rRNA from 1 species